AUCCUGAAACCAAAAUCAAAAUUCCUAAUUCACCAACACAACUAAGAAAACCAUCGAUGACAUAAGGCCUCAAUUAGAAGUACAGCAGCUUAGAGAGGAAGAGAGAUCAAUACCAAGAGAGAGAGAGAUGGGUGAGGCCCAAGCAGAGGGCAUCCCUCCACCCACUGCAAACCCCAGAAGCCAUAAUUACGGUCCGAUCAUCAACAAGAGAACCAAUUCGCAGCAAGAGUUCCAUAGGAAUAUCUUUCCACUCAGUGAUGACCACUCCCUCCAUAUUCUUUCCUCCCUGACUAAUGCCACCAGCAAUCCCACUAUUCCCACCACCAACCAUCAGGAGCCUCUCAAAGCACUGGUUCAAGUCCUCACUCCUCAAUUUUGCUUCACCCACCAUUUCACUCUGAACCCACCACCGUCUUUAACCGCUACCGCUGGAAAUUAUUAACAGAGUAUUUCUUGUUUCCAUGUGGAAAAACACCAUAAUAAGUUACUUUCUUUCUUCAGACGUGGAACUGAUGAAGGAUAGUAACAAUCGCAAUCAAUAGGCCCAACAAAUCCCUAUGAAAUAUGAACUACAAACCAAUAAUUAUAAAAACGAAGAACCCAGAAACAGAAAGAAGCAAACAAACAGAAGAAAACGAAGGAGCUCAUUUUCGUCAAUAGAAAACGAAAUACAGACAGACCAUUUCAACAAACCGAAAAGAAUAAAAUAAAUAAAUAAAAAACCGAUCAAGAAAAAUAAAAACCAUCCGUAGAGAGUUCAUCAAUUCCCUUCUGUAGCAUAAUUGAAGAGAAGAAGACGAAGACAAGAAAGAAUGGAAGAAAAAACGACAAAGCGUAUGCAUUACCUG
rnacentral:misc_RNA from 1 species